GGAGUCGGCCAGACAGUCGCCGCCGCAUGCGGUUCGCCGUAUGUGGGGGAGGAAAGUCCGGGCUCCACAGGGCAAGGUGCCAGGUAACGCCUGGGCGGCGCGAGCCGACGGAAAGUGCAACAGAGAGCAGACAGCCGAACGAUGGCCCACCUCGGUGGAACCAUGCGUGGUGAUGGUGAAACGGUGCGGUAAGAGCGCACCGCACGCGGGGCCAACGCCGCGUGGCACGGCAAACCCCACCUGGAGCAAGACCAAAUAGGGACGCAAUGCCGUGGCCCGCGGUGCGUCCGGGUAGGUUGCUUGAGCCGGGCGGCGACGCCCGGCCUAGAAGAAUGACUGUCCCCGACAGAACCCGGCUUAUCGGCCGGCUCCGCAG
rnacentral:RNase_P_RNA from 1 species